UACAGAGGUCCCGAGCGUUGUUCGGAUUUACUGGGCGUAAAGAGCGCGCAGGCGGUCGUUCAAGUCGAGUGUGAAAGCCCCCGGCUCAACUGGGGAGGGUCAUUCGAUACUGAUCGACUCGAAGGCAGGAGAGGGUAGUGGAAUUCCCGGUGUAGUGGUGAAAUGCGUAGAUAUCGGGAGGAACACCAAUGGCGAAGGCAGCACUCUGGGACGUGACUGACGCUGAGACGCGAAAGCGUGGGGAGCAAACAGG
rnacentral:rRNA from 1 species